AGUGGGGAAUUUUGCACAAUGGGCGAAAGCCUGAUGCAGCGACGCCGCGUGCGGGAAGAAGGCCUUCGGGUUGUAAACCGCUUUCAACAGGGAAGAAGGAAUGAGGGUCAAUACCCCUCUGCCUUGACGGUACCUGUAGAAGAAGCACCGGCUAAUUUCGUGCCAGCAGCCGCGGUAAUACGAAAGGYGCAAGCGUUGUUCGGAUUUACUGGGCGUAAAGCGCGCGUAGGCGGCUAAUCAAGUCGGAUGUGAAAUCCCGGGGCUCAACCCCGGAACUGCAUUCGAAACUGGUUGGCUAGAGUUCGAGAGGGGGAUGCGGAAUUCCGAGUGUAGCAGUGAAAUGCGUAGAUAUUCGGAGGAACACCUGAGGCGAAGGCGGCAUCCUGGAUCGACACUGACGCUGAGGUGCGAAAGCGUGGGUAGCAAACAGGAUUAGAUACCCUGGUAGUCCACGCCCUAAACGAUGUCUACUAGCCGUUGCGGGUAUCGACCCCUGCAGUGGCAAAGCUAACGCGAUAAGUAGACCGCCU
rnacentral:rRNA from 1 species